CGACAGAGGCAACACUAAUGUGAUACUAAUAUUGCAGCGUUUUCGCUGUUAAGGUUUAAAAGUGAAGCUUCAGCAGGUAGAGAAAAGAGAAAUGAGCCAGAAGUUUCGUUUUCACCUCCGCUGGUGGCAGUCUGCACCGCUCCAUACCCCUCUGUUAUUGUCUGUCUGG